GCUCAUAUAGCUCAGUGGUAGAGCAUUUGUCUUAUGAGAAAUGAGGUUAGCAGAUGGCCGAGGGUUCGACCCCCUCUAUGAGCA
rnacentral:tRNA from 1 species